GGCAAAACGUCCGCCCGGGCCCGAGGCGGGCGGAGGCAGCUGUGGUUACGUGCGGGGGGCCGGUGACGCAGUCGCGGGGCGCUGGGACGCGGCUUGCGGAGCCGGCCGGCGAGCGCAGGCCCCAGGCUCGGGCGCGGCGGCGGGACAGCACCUACCUUCCCGGCUUCGGGUCCGGGAGUGCGGGGCGCGGAGCCGCCGGAGCGCUGCCUCCCUCCUUCCUCCUCCCCUCGCCCCCGCCCCGCGGCGCGACACACAAUACUCGCCGGAAGCGGAAGCCGCGCCGAGGCUCGUGUCAGUGGAAGCUGGGGUGUCGGCGGGCGGCCGCGGCCGGGUCUAGCGGUGCCUGCGGAAGAAGGAGGAGGAGGGCUGGCGAUGAGAAGCAGCAGGGGGAAUCAAGGGCAAGAAGGGACCCAGAGGGGCAGGUGGCUGAGAUGCUGGCGUCCAGGUGACCCGAGGAAUCCUCUGGAGAUACAGGCCCGCGCAUGCGCGUGCUCGAGCGCUGAAGCCCAUUGCCCGCAGGGCGCUGGACUGGCGCCCCGGCCGGCGAGGCUGUCUAGUCCAGGCUCCAGGCCCCGGCUCUGGCCAGGCGCCGCCGCCUCCCGGUGCAGCUGAAAGUCGACGAAGAGGGCGGGGCGGGGGCGGCUUGUGGACUUCCACACUUUUCCUCUCUUCGGGCCAGUCUGGGGAGAGGGUGGCUAGCUGUGGCGGCGGCCAAUUACGUGGCGGACCUGCGGGGCUAAGCUGGCACGUCACUUCCGACUAGUGGAGUUUUUAGCCUUUUAACAUUCAAGGAUUAGGUAAGUUCUCCCCGCGGUAGACUUCAAAUACUCUUUGUCCUGCCCCUGCUUGGCGAAAUUUACCGAAAUUAUCUACCUAUCCCGCUGGAGUGGGAGCCGGGGGAGAGCUGGAACCGCGUCUCUGCUGCUCACCUUUGUGUCCUUAGCUCCUUCGCAUGGGGUCCGACCGCAACACGUGCGCUGGAUAAACGCUUGUUAACUGGGUGAGAGCCAAGGCCUGUUCUUUCCACUUCUGGGGCUGUGACUUGAGUUUCUCCGCAGGAGCAGAUAGUGUUUGUGUAGGGACUGCGGACUUUUGCAUUACAGCCUCCCUGCUUUGCCCGCCUGCUGCUGGAAGCUUAGCAGAGCUCCCUCUUUGCCCACUAGCAGGGCAUUAGCUGGUGCUGAAGACAGUGGCUGCUUGGCGAGCCUGGAUCUCCAAGUGACCCCCUCAGCAACUCCUGAUGAACAGGACUGAAGCCAAUAUUAAAGCAAGUCAACCAAAGGUUCUCUGGUGUAGACAAGACAGCAAAAGGACAGACUACCUUGUGGAACCUAGCAUUGUUCUCCUUCUGCAGCACUAAGUACUGUGUGCAGAAAUGUGAUUGAGAUUCAAGUCAGGGCCUCUCUGCCCUUUUCCCUCCAGAAACAAAACCAAGAUAAUUUAUCCUGAACACGGUGAAAAAAGGAAGGGAGGGAGGAGAAAAAGUCCGGGUCUCACCUGGGAUUCUCUGUCUCCUGCAACAUGAAGGAUUUAGCCUGGGAGGAGGUGGUGAGAACUCUGGGAGAGAAAAAAGAAGGAAAGAAUAGUUUUACCCAUGCUGAAGUUAAUUUAAACCUUCACCUAGAGAAGCAAAAAAAAAAAACCCACACUUUCCCAUUUUGUGCCUCCCUUCCUAGAGUUUUAGCCAAAGGUUUAGCUAAGUAAUUGGUUUUACCAGCGCACUCACUCCUCCUAUCCCAAGUCUGUUUGACUCCCUCCCCAUCAUCCUCCUCACCUCUUUUCAGGCAGGGUGGGGAUAGCAGCAGGAGGAGAUUUUGGGAGCCUGGCAACUCCUGCAAGGACCGCAGGACAGCCCCUCUGUGGGGAUGCGUGGUGCCCCAUCUGCCGCCCUUCUGAAGAAUGCACUGCCUUCACUUUUUACUGUGUUAGAGUCCAUCCAGACUGUUCUAUCCAAAAAAGUUUCUUUUUCCCCCACAGGCAAUCAGGAAAUGAUUCCUUUCCCGACUGCUUCUGUCUAGUGCCUGGGAAUCUUGAGUCAAUCCCUCAGUAAGUCAGUGACUAGGGAAAUCCCUCUCUGAGCCUCCCAGUUCAUGUUGCUUAGGGAACCUGAUAUUUUCGUGAAACCUGCCUACACAUGGGCAGCCCAACAGCAGAACAAAUGGUGGUGACCAAAGUGAACAAAGAAGUAUAGUUGUGCCAGCUUCGUAGUUGCCCAUGUGGACAAGUCAGCAGGAUCAGGACACGAGGAAGAGUAAAUGUGAGACAGUCAAUGUGACUUCUGCGAUAAACAGAUUUUUAAACCCCGAAAUUUUGCAAAAUUUUGGUGAAACCUGAACUUUCUUCGUUGCAUAUACUGGCACUAUCUGUACCAUCAUACAACUGUCUCACAUUAAAGCUAUUUUUCUUGGGCACUGAUGAGUAAGGUUGGUAUAAGUUCCUCAGAUCAACAAAAACCCAUUUUCCUGUAAGUCUUACAUUUAGUAUUUAAGGAACUAAAACUUAAAUACAUUUUGUGAAAUGGUUGACACUUCACUGAUAAUGAUUUAUUGCUUGGAUUAAUAAAUUUUCCAAAAGUUGUCUUAUGUAGAAUAUGGUUUGCAACCAGCAGAACCAUUAAUCUAUACUGCAAUGAUAUGCACUAUGUAUAAUUGUUUAAAAGCCUCUACUUAAUGAUGUAAAAUGCUCUAUUUAAUUACACAUUUGGGUAAACUGUAUACUAACAUCUGAUGGCAUUUUUCCACUGUUUGUUGCUUUUUUCAAAUACUUUAUUGUACAAAGCUGUUCUUAAUAUUUUUCAAGUUUUUUUCUUUGAAUUUUGCUAAUGUUUUCCUUGAAUUAUGAGCACUGACAGAAUGUGCUUAGCACUUUUGGCUAUUCACACAGCUUUUGAGCAUGAUUUGCAUCCAAUAUUUACAUUGCUAGCAAUAAUAAGCCAUCUGUGAGUUUUGUCAAAAGUUAUUGGGGAUUUUUUAAAUUUUAGAAAUGCAAAUUAUUGUUUCUUUGAACUAACUCUUAUGCAGUUGCAAAGGCAUUUCCAGUUGUUAUAGUUUGUGUACAAUAUCAGGUGUUCCAGAUUAUGAUUCAUUAUUAAUAUCAUUGCUUCCUUGUUCCCUCUGAGGUCCAGAAGAUUCAUGUUUACAAUAUUUAGAAACAAUGUUAAAAAGGUAUCCAAAGUUUGUCACUUUAUUAUUAGUUUGUUCUUAAUAUUCUGUUUAAGUUUUUGAAUUCAUAGAUAUCAAAACGCUGCACAAUUAUGAUUUCCACAGGAAUAACAACACACUAACAAUAAGAACCAAAAACAGCAAAUAGGCUGCCUACAAGUUUUGACAAUAUUAGGAUAAUGAUAAUGACAGUUUUUCUAAAUCUCACAGUAAAGAAUGCAGCAACCCAGCAACACUGCUACCUGUGGCCUCAGGCUGCAGUGUCAGCUCUUCCCUGGGUCUCCAGCCUGCCAGUCUAACCUGAAAAUUAUGUACUUGCCAGCCCCCACAGUCACGUGAGUGAACUGGCCCAGGCUGGUCACCAGGGUCAGUUUCUCUGUGUGUCAUUAAUUCAUUCAGUCUUCAGCAGUCUCUUUGGAGCUGAGAUGUACCUACCAUCUGCCUUUUGGGUGCUUAGGGUGGAGAACCAGAAAAGUAUAACCUAGUGUGUAUCCUCAAAGAGCUAACAAUAUGGGGUGGUACCUAUAGGUCUGGAAACACUUUACUGACUCUGUGAGGCAUACCAGGAGACGUCAGAGAACAGUCCCUCCUCAAAUGCCAAAUGAGAUGCAGAAGAAAUAGUUUGCUCAAGUUCAUGGGCCAGAUAUCCCAGUGGUCAGGGAGUUUCAUGAAUGAGAUGGAACUUUGCAUGGAACCCGAGGGAUGUGUAUGAUUUGAGUAGAUGAAGAAAAUGAGACUUUCCAAGCAGCUAGAAGUUAGGGAGCAGCAAGAUGUGUGGUGGGAUUGAGCACAGUUGGUUCAGAGGAUAGACUGCAGUUUUAAUAAUUUGUAGUAAAUAUCUCCCAACUGUUUGGCACUAUUGGAGCAAGUUCUUGAAUGCCAAAUGAAGGCAUAAAUCAGUAAGAGGCAUAAUAAAAGGCUGAGCAGUGCUUGGCUUUUUACGAACUGAUCCUGAUAGGAGCAGCUGUUCAACAAAGUUGCCAGGUCACCGUUACAUAGUCCCUGCCUUCUAGGGGCUCACUGCCUACUGGGAGAGACAGUCUGAAAGUUGGUGGAGCAUGUAACUGUUGGAUGAGGAGUUUGAGCCUGUGGACUGUGGGACCCCCGAGGAGGGUGUGGCUACUCUAGGCAGAACAAUCCCACAGUUUAUUUAUAUUUAACCUUGAAAUUCAUUAGAGGAUUUUUCAGCAGAGGUUUGGUACUUGUUAAUGUUAAGGUUUGCAUUCUCUAGAACCUCAAGGAAAGCUGUACCGUGCAUAAUGUACCCUCUUAUGUUAAUGUUGUGUACUGUGAUCCUGUUUCAGGGACUUGCACUUAGGAAUCUGUUACAGUGAGCACAGAAGCAGACCUGUGGGCUCAUAGUCUUCACCCCCCACCCAUAUAUACAAGAUGAACAGAGUGGAGGUUAAACAACUUGACUAAACAACACAGUUCAUGGUAAAGCCCAAGACUGUACCUGCCCAUCCACUGCCUUUUCCAUGUAUCCUGGAACUGAGCAUAGACCUCUUCCCAGGCAGAGCUGACAGCAAGUAAAGGAGAUCAUAAUCAGGGGACCAAACAACUUUGUCUAAAGUGUGAAUGUCACCUAAGGAGAAGCUGUGAGAUCAGAAGGGUGGGGCAGAGGAGCAGACACCAUGAGGGAGAGUCCUUGGGGGUACAUCUGCCAGACUGACACUGUCUGGCCUGGGCAGUGGAGGGGCUAGCAGGAACCACAGGUACUGGUGGUGUGGCUACUACCGUUACAACUGCCUGUGCUUGGACAUGGACCCUCUGCAAUAUGCGGCAGUUUCAUUCAUUGCCCCCUACAUUCUACACCAAGUAGAAAUGGAAGGCAAUUGGAUACUUCACAGACAAGAUCUAAGUGGAGAAGGAAUGCGUCCUGUGGCUGCAGAGAUCCUUGGAGCUUGGAGGGGAGAGCUUGAGCCCCACUGAUGAUGACCUCCCACAGCUCGCCAACUCAGCCCUCCCUAAGUCCCCAUCGGGGGCCAAUUCUCACUCUGGGGUUGGGGGGACUCCACCAUAGCUCAUCCAUCAUAGGGAUGUUGGUAUCUACUGUGGGUUGGGUAGGGCCGAUGUGCUGAGGAUGGCUCCCCCACAAGCAAGAGAUGUGGAUUUGGGGAGCUUCCCAUCUUGUGUUGAAGGAACAUAACUCAGAAUAAUAAGAGCCAACUAUAACAAACCCACAGCCAACAUCAUACUGAAUGGGCAAAAGCUGCAGGCAUUCCCCUUGAAAAGUGGCACAGGAUAAGGAAGCCCUUUCUCACCACUCCUAUUCAAUAUAGUGUUGAAAGUCCUGAUCACAGCAGUCAGGCAACAGAAAUAAUAAAGGGCAUCCAAAUAGGAAGAGAGGAAGUCAAACUAUCCUUGUUUGCAGACAGUAUGAUUCUAUAUCUAGAAAACCCCAUAGCCUCAGCCCAAAAGGUCCUUCAUCUGAUAAUUUCAGCAAAGUUUCAGGAGACAAAAUCAGUGUACAAAAAUCACUAACAUUCCUAUACACAGUCGCCAAGCCAAGAGCCAAAUCAGGAGCACAAUCCCAUUCAUAAUUGCCACAAAAAAGAAUAAAAUACCCAGGAAUGCAGCUAACCAAGGAAGUAAAGGAUCUCUACAAUGAGAAUCACAAACGCUGCUCAAAGAAAUCAGAGAUGACACAAACAAAUGGAAAAACUUUCCAUGCUCAUGGCUAGGAAGAAUCAAUAUCAUUAAAGUGGCCAUACUACCCAAAGCAAUUUAUAGAUUCAAUGCUAUUCCUAUCAAACUAUCAAUUACAUUUUUCACAGAACUAGAAAAAACUUAAAAUUCAUAUGGAACCAAAAAGCCUGAGUAGUCAAGGCAAUCCUAAACAAAAAGAACAAAGGUGGAGGCAUCACAUUACCUAACUUCAAACUACAGGGCUACCAUGACCAAAACAGCAUGGUACUGGUACAAAAGCAGACACACAGACCAGUGGGACAGAAUAGAGAGCCCAAAAAUAAGGCCACAAACCUACAGCCAUCUGAUCUUCAACAAAGUUGACAAAAACAAGCAAUGGGGAAAGGUCUCCCUAUUCAAUAAAUGGUGCUGGGAUAACUGGCUGGCCAUAUGCAGAAGAUCGUAACUGGACCCCUUUUACUAUGUACAAAAAUUAAGAUGGUUUAAAGAGUUAAAACCCAAAAUUAUAAAAAUCCUGAAGAUAACUUAGGCAAUACCAUUCUGGACAUAGGAACUGGCAAAUAUUUCAUGAUGAAGACACCAAAAGCAAUUGUAACAAAAGCAAAAAUGGACAAAUUGGAUUUAAGAGCUUUUUCAUAGCAAAAUAAACAACAGGGCAGACAAUCUACCAAAUGACAGAAAAUUUUUGCAAACUAUGCAUCUGACAAGGGGCUAAUAUCUAGCAUCUAUAAGGAAUUUAAACACAGUUACAGGAAAAAAAAAACCCACUCCAUUAAAAAAUGGGCAAAGGACAUGAACAGACACUUUUCAAAAAAGACAUACAUACAGCCAACUAGCGUGUUAAAGAAAACCUCAAUUAUCACUGAUCAUUAGAGAAAUGCAAAAUCAAAACCAUGAUGAGAUAUCAUCUGCCAGUCAGGAUGGCUACAAAAAAGUAAAAAAAUAAUAGAUGUUGGUGAGGUUAUGGAGAAAAGGAACUUAUACACUUGUUAGGAGUGUAAAUUAGUUCAAUCACUGUGGACAGCAGUGUGGUGAUUCCUCAGAGAGCUAAAAACAACUACCAUUUGACUCACCAAUCCCAUUACUGGAUAUUUACCUAAAGGAAUAUAAAUCAUUCCACCAUAAAGACACAUGCAAGUGUAUGUUCAUUGCAGCACUAUUAACAGUAACAAAGCUGGGCACAGUGGCUCACCUCACGACUGUAAUCCCAGCACUUUGGGAGGCUGAGGUAGGCGGAUCACCUGAGGUCGGCAGUUUGAGACCAGCCUGACCAACAUGGAGAGACCCCAUCUCUACUAAAAAUACAAAAUUAGCCAGGUGUGGUGGCUCAUGCCUGUAAUCCCAGCUACUUGGGAGGCCAAGGCAGGAGAAUUGCUUGAACCCAGGAGGCAGAGGUUGCAGUGAGCCGAGAUCACACCAUUGCACUCUAGCCUGGUGAAGGAGCAAGACUCCAUCUCAAAAAAAAAAAAAAAAAAGAAAGAAAGAAAAAUACACAUUCAGAGGAGACAAAAAAUAAAAAACAAUGAUGCAUGCCCACAGGAUCUAGAAAAUAACUUCUUAAGGGCAAAUCUAGGAGUUAUUGGCCUUAAAGAAGAGAUAGAGAAAGAGAUAGGAAUAGAAAGUUUGUUGAAAGGGAUAAUAACAUAGAACUUCCUAAACCUACAGAAAGAUAUUUAUAUCCAAGUACAAGAAGGUUAUAGAACACCAGGCCAAUUUAACCCAAAGAUUACCUCAAGGCAUUUAAUAAUCAAACUCCCACAGGACAAGGGUAAAGAAAGGAUCCUAAAAGCAGCAAGAGAAAAGAAACAGAUAACAUACAAUGGAGCUCCAAUACAUCUGGCAGUAUAUUUUUCAGUGGAAACCUUACAAGCCAGGAGAGAGUGACAUGACAUAUGUUAAAGUGCUGAAGGGAAAAAACCUUUUACCCUAGAAUAGUAUAUCCAGCAAAAAUAUCCUUCAAACAUGAAGAAUAAACAAAGACUUCCCCAGACAAACAAAAGCUGAGGGAUUUCAUCAACACUAGACUGGUCCCAUAAGAAACGCUUAAGGGAGUACUUUGGUCAGAAAGAAACAGACAUUAAUGAGCAACAAAGAAUCAUCUAAAGGUAAAAAACUCACUGUUAAGAGUAAGUACACAGAAAAACCCAAAGUGUGAUAACAUUGUAACUGUGGUGUGUAAGUAGAAAGAAUAAAUGAUAAACCAAUCAAAAAUAGUAACUACAACUUUUCAAGACCAGUCAGAAAAAUAAGAUAAAAUUAGAAACAACAAAAAGUUAAAAAGUGGGGGGAUGAAGUUAAGAUGUAGAGUUUUUAUUAGUUUUUUGUUUGUUAAUGCAAACAGUGUUACCAGGUUAAAAUAAUGGGUUACAAAAUAGUAUUUGUAAUCCUUAUGGUAACCUCAAACCUAAAAACAUACACUGGAUACAUAAAAAAUAAAAAGCAAAAACCUAAAUCAUAUCACCAGAGCAAACUACCUUCCCUAAAGGAAGACAGGAAGAAAAGAAAGAAGAAGACCACAAAACAACCAGAAAACAAAUAAAUAACAAGGCAGGAGUAAGUCUUUACUUAUCGAUAAUACAUUGAAUGGAAAUAUGGACUAAACUCUCCAAUCAAAAGACAUAGACUGGCUGAAUGAAUGGAGAAAACAAGACCCAUUGAUCUGUUGCCUACAAGAAACACACUUAAACUAUAAAGACACACAUAGGCUGAAAGUAAAGAGUUGGAAAGAGUUAUUCCAUGCCAAUGGAAACCAGGAAAAAGAGAAGGAGUAUUGAUUUUGAUACAAAAACUAUGAGACAAAUAAAGUCACUAUACAAUGAUAAAGGGGUUAAUAUGGUUUCCAUUUGUGCCCCACCCAAAUUUCGUGUUCUAUUGUAAUCCUCAAUGUUGGAGGUGGGGCCUGGUGGGACGUGAUUAGAUCAUGGGGGUGGAUCUUUCAUGACUAAUUCAGCACCAUCUUCUUAGUGCUGUUCUCAUGAUAGUGAGUUCUUCUGAAAUCUGGUUGCUUAAAAGUGUGUAGCACCUCUCCACACCACCCGCUUGCCUUGGUCUACUCCUGCUAUGUAGAUGCUUGCUCCCACUUUGCAUUAUUCCAUGAGUAAAAGCUCCCUCAGGCCUUCCCAGAAUCAGAUGCCGCUAUGCUUCCUGAACAGCCUGUGGAACUAUGAGCCAAUUCAACCUCUUUUCUUCAUAAAUUAACAAGUCUUGGGUAUUUCUUUAUAGCAGUGUGAGAACAGAAUAAUACAGAAAAUUGGUAAAGAGGAGUGAGGCAUUGCUAGAAAGAUACCUGAAAAUGUGGAAACAGCAGUGGAACUGGGAAAUAGACAGAGGUUGGAAGAGUGUGGAGGGCUCCGAAGAUAGGAAGAUGAGGGGAAGUUUGGAAUUUCUUAGAGAUUUGUUAAAUUGUUUUGACCAAAAUACUGAUGGUGAUAUGGACAAUGAAGUCCAGGCUGAGGAGGUCUCAGAUGGAGAUGAGGGACUUAUUGGGACCUGGAGUGAAGGUCACUUUUGUUAGGACAUUGUGGUUGGAGACAUUGUGCCCCUGCCCUAGGAAUCUGUGGAACUUUGAACUUGAGAGCGAAGAUUUAGGGUAUCUGGCAGAAGAAAUUUCUAAGCAGCAAAGCGUUCAAGACGUGGCCUGGCUGCUUCUGGUAGUCUGUGCUCAUAUUUGUGAGCAAAGACAUGACAAGAAACUGGAACUUAUAUUUAAAAAGGAAGCAGAGUGUAAAAGUUUGGAGAAUUUGCAGCCUGGCCAUGUUGUAGAAAAGAAAAAAACCAUUUUCUGGAGAGGAAUUCAAGCUAGCUGCAGAAAAUUGCAAGUAACAAGGAGCAAAAUGUUGAUAGCCAAGAUAGUGGGAAAAACACCUUGAAGGCAUUUCAGAUACCUUGGGGGCAGCCUCUCCCAUCACAGGCCCAAAGGCCUAGGAGGGAAGGAUGGUUUCCUGGGCCAGGCUCAGGGUCCUGCUGCCCUGCACAACCUCAGGAAACUGCUCUCCAAAUCCCAGCUGCUCCAGCUCCAGCUUCAGCUCAAAGGGCCCCAGGUAUAGCUCAGGCUGCUGCUCCAUAGGAUGCAAGUUAUAAGCCUUAGUGGCUCCCGUGUGGUGUUAAAUUAAGCCUGUAGGUGCACAGAGUGCAAGAAUUGAGGCUUGGGAGCCUCCAACUAGAUUUCAGAGUAUGUGUGGGAAAGCCUGGAUGUCCAGGCAGAAGCCAGCUGCAGGGACAGAGCCCUCAUGGAGAACCUCUACUAGGGUAGUGUGGAGGGGAAAUUUGGGGUUGGAGUUCCCACACAGCUUCCCCUCUGGUGUACUGCCUAGUGGAGCUGUGAGAAGACAGCCACUGUCCUCCAGAUUCCAGGAUGAUAGAUCUGCCAAUGACAGCUUGCACUGUACAACUGGAAAAGCCACAGGCAGUCAAUGCCAGCCCGUGAAAGCAGUGACAGUGGCUUACCCUGCAAAGUCCCAGGGGCUGAGCUGCCCAAGGCCUUGGGAGCCCACCCCUUGCACCAGUGUGCCCUGGAUGUGAGAUAUGGAGUCAAAGGAGAGUAUUUUGGAGCUUUAAGAUUUAAUGACUACCUGCUGGGUUUCAGACUUGCAUGGGUCCAGUAGCCCCUUUCUUUUGGCCAAUUUCUCACUUUUGGAAUGGGAGUGUUUACCCAAUUCCUGUACCCCCACUGUAUGUUGGAAGUAACUAACUGUUUUUUUAUUUUGUAAGCUCACAGGUGGGAGAGACUUGCCUUGUCUCAGGUUGAGACUCUGGACUUUGGACUUUUGAAUUAAUGCUGGAAUGAGUUAAGACUUUGAGGGACUGUUGGGAAGAUAUAACUGUAUUUUGCAGUAUGAGAAGGACAUGAGAUUUGGGAGACACCAGAGGUGGAAUAAUAUGAUUUGGAUCUGCAUCCCCACCAAAAUCUCAUGUUCAAUUGUAAUCCUAAAUUUUGGAGGUUGAGCCUGGUGGAAGAGGAUUGGAUAAUGGGGGUGGUUUCUCAUGGUUUAACACCAUCCCCCUGGGUGCUGUUCUCAUGACAGUGAGUGAGUUAUUGUGAGAUCUGAUUGUUUAAAAGUGUGUGCCACCUCCUCCCACUUUCCUCCUGCUCCAGCCAUGUAAGACAGGCUUGCCUCCCCUUCACCUUUUGUCAUGAUUGUAAGUGUUCUGAGGCCUCCCCAGCCAUGCUUCCUGUACAGCCUGCAGAACUGUGAGCCAAUUAAACCUCUUUUCUCUAUAUAUUACCCAGUCUCGGGUAUUUCUUUAUAGCAGUGCAAGAAUAGACUAAUACAGGGUUCAAUUCAGCAAGAGGAUAUAACAAAUAUAAAUAUAUAUGCACUCAACACUGCAGCACCCAGAUAUAUAAAGCAAAUACGAUUAGAGCUAAAGAGAGAGAGUGACCCCAAUACAAUAAUAGCUGGAGACUUCAACACCACAUUUUCAGCACUGGACAGAUCUUCCAGACAGAAAAUAAAAAAGAAACAUCAGACUUAAUCUGCACUGUAGAUCAAAUGGAUCUAAUACAUACUUGCAGAACAUUUUAUCCAAUGGCUGCAGAAUACACAUUCUUUUUUAGCACAUGUAUCAUUCUCAAGGAUAGACCAUAUGUUAGGUCACAAGUCUUAAAACAUUAAAAAAGUUGAAUACCAUCAAGCAUCUUCUCUGACCACAGUGGAAUACAACUAGAAACUAAUAACAAGAGGAAUUUUUGAAACUACAAAUACAUGAAAAUUAAACAAUAUGCUCCUGAAUGACCAUUGAGUCAAUGAAGAAAUUAAGAAGGAAAUUGAACAAUUUCUUGAAACAAAUGAUAAAGGAAACACAACAUACCAAAACCUAUGGGAUACGGCAAAAGCAGUACUAAGAGGCAAAUUGAUAGCUAUAAGUGCCUACAUGAAAAAAGAGGAAAAACUUCAAAUAAGCAAUUUAACAAUGAACCUUAACCAGAAAAGCAAGAGCAAAACAAACACAAAAUUAGAAGAAAACAAAUAAUAAAAAUUAGAGCAUAAAUAAAUAAAAUUGAAAUAAAAAUCAAUGCAAAAGAACAAUGAAACAAAAAGUUGCUUUUUUUCAAAAGUUAAACAAAACUGACAAGCCUUUAGCAAGACUGAGAAAAAAGAGACAAGAUACAAAUCAGAAAUGAAAAAGACAUUACAACUGACACUGCAGAAAUUCAAAGGAUCAUUAGGGGCUACUAUGAGCAACUCUAUGCCAAUAAAUUGGAAAAUCUAGAAGAAAUUGACAAUUCCUAGACACAUACAACCUACUGAGACUGGACCAGGAAGAAAUCCAAAACCUGAACAGACUAAUAACAAGUAACAAGGUUGAAGCCAUAAUAAAAAGUCUCCCACUAAAGAAAACCAAGGACCCGAUGGCUUCACUGUUGAAUUCUACCAAACAUUUAAAGAAGAACUAAUACCAAUCCCACUCAAGCUAUUGAAAAAUAGAGGAGGAGAGAAUAUUUCCAAAGUCAUUCUAGGAGACCAGUAUCACCCUGAUACCAAAACCAGACAAAGACACAUCAAAAAAAGAAAACUGCUGGCCAAUUUCUCUGAUGAAUAUUGAUGCCAGAAUCCUCAGCAAAAUAUUAGCAAACUAAAUUCAACAAUACAUUAAAAAGAUCAUUCAUCAGGGUCGGGUGCAGUGGCUUAAGCCUCUAAUCCCAGCACUUUGGGAGGCCGAGGUGGGCAGAUCACCUGAGGUCAGGAGUUCAAGACCAGCCUGACCAACAUGGUGAAACCUCGUCUCUACUGAAAAUACAAAAUUAGCCGAGUGUGGUGGUGCAUGCCUGUAAUCCCAGCUACUCAGGAGACUGAGGCAGGAGAAUCACUUGAACCCAGGAGGUGGAGGUUGCAGUGAGCUGAGAUUGUGGCACUGCACUCCAGCCUUGGUGACAGAGUGAGACUCCAUUAAAAAAAAAAUCAUUUAUCAUGACCAAGUGGGAUUUAUCCCUGGAAUGCAAGGAUGGUUCAACACAUGCAAAUCAAUCAAUGUAAUACAUCAUAUCAAAAAGAAUGAUUAAAACCAUAUGAUUAUUUCUAUUGAUGCUGAAAAAGUAGUUUAUAAAAUCCAACAUCCCUUCAUGAUAAAAACCCUCAAAAAACUGUAUAAAAGAAAUAUACCUCAACGUAAUAGCCAGAUAUGACAGACCCACAGCUAGUAUCAUACUGAAUGGGGAAAAAGUGAAAGACUUUCCUAUAAGAUCUGGAACACAACAGGGAUGUUCACUGUCACCACUGUUAUUCAACAAAGUACUGGAUGUUCUAGCUAGAGCGAUCAGACAAGAGAAGAUAUAAAGGCCAUCCAAACUGGAAAGGGAGAAGUUAAAUUACCCUAGUUUGCAGAUGAUAUGAACUUAUAUUUGGAAAAAACCUAAAGGCUCCACAGGAAAACUAUUAGAAUCAAUAAAUUCAGUAAAGUUGCAGGACACAAAAUCAACAUAUAAAAACCAGUAGCAUUUCUAUAUGUCAACAGUGAACAAUUUGAAAAAUUUUAAAUUUAAGAAGGUAAUUUCAUUUACAAUAGCCACACAUAAAAUUAAAUACCUAGGAAUUAACCAAAAAUGUGCAAGAUAUCUAUGAGGAGAAUUAUAAAACAUUGAUGAAAGAAAUUGAAGAGGACACAAAAAAAAUGGAAAAAAUUCCAUCUUUAUGGAUUGGAAGAAUCAAUAUUGUUAAAAUGUCCAUACUACCCAAAGCAAUCUACAGAUUUAAUGCAAUCCCUAUCAAAAUACCAAUAAUAGUCUUCAGAGAAAUAGAAAAAAAAAUCCCAAAAUUUAUAUGAAAACACAGAAUGCCCAGAAUAGCCAAAAUUAUAUUAAGCAAAAAGAUCAAAACUGGAGGAAUCACAUUACCUGACUUCAAAUUAUGCUACAGAGCUAUAAUCACCAAAACAGCAUGGUACUGACAUAAAAACAGACACAUAGUCCAACAGAACAGAAUAGAGAACCUAGAAACAAAUCCACACACUCACAGGGAACUCAUUUUUGACAGAGUUGCCAAGUACUUAUACUGGAGAAAAGAAAAGACAGUCUCUUCAAUGAAAUGGUGCUGGGAAAACUGGAUAUCCAUAUGCAGAAGAAUGAAACUAGACCCCUACCUCUCACUGUAGACAAAAGUCAAAUCAAGGCUAGGCAUGGUGGCUUACACCUGUAAUCUCAGCACUUUGGGAGGCUGAGGCAGGCGUAUCACGAGGUGAAGAGAUUGAGACCAUCCUGACCAACAUGGUGAAACUCACCCCCCCCCACCCACUAAAAAUACAAAAAUUAGCUGGGCGUGAUGGCAUGUGCCUGCAGUCCUAGCUACUCAGGAGGCUGGGGCAGGAGAAUCGCUUGAACCCAGGAGGUGGAGGUUGCAGUGAGCUGAGAUUGUGCCACUGCACUCCAGCCUGGCGACAGAGCAAGACUCCAUCUCAAAAAAUAAAAAAUAAAUUCAAAAUGUAAUAAAGACUUAAAUCUAAGACCUCAAACAUGAAACUACUAUAAGAAAACAUUGGGGAAAACCUCCAGGACAGUAGUCUGGCCAAAAAUUUCUUGAGCAAUACCCCACAAGCACAGGCAACCAAAAUAAAACUGGACAAAUAGUAUCACAUCAAGUUUAAAAGCUUCUACAAAGCAAAGGAUACAAUCAAUAAAGAGACAACCCACAGAAUGGGAGAAAAUAUUUGCAAACUACCCAUCUGACAAAGAAAUAAUAACCAGAGUAUAUAAGAAGCUCAAACAACUCUAUAGUAAAAAAAAAAAAAAAAAAAAUUCUAAAAGUCUAAGUAAAAAAAUGGGCAAAAGAUUUGAAUAGACAUUUCUCAAAAGAAGACAUACAGGCCAUGCGUGGUGGCUCAUGCCUGUAAUCCCAGCACUUUGGGAGGCCCAGGCGGGUGGAUCACUUGAGGUCAGGAGUUCGAGACCAGCCUGACCAACAUUGUGAAACUCCGUCUCUACUAAAAAUACAAAAAUAAGCCAGGCAUGGUGGCGCACACCUGUAAUCCCAGCUACUCAGGAGGCUGAGGCAGGAGAAUCGCUUAAACCUGGGAGACAGAGGUUGCAGUAAGCCGAGAUCACACCACUGCACUCCAGCCUGGGCAACAAAGUGAGACUCCGUCUCACAAAAAAAAAAAAAAAAAAAAAAAAAAAAGAAAAGAAAAAGGAAGAAGACAUACAAAGCCAGGUACAGUGGCUUAUGCCUCUAAUCCUAGCACUUUAGGAGGCCAAGGCAGAUGGAAUUGAGCCCAGAAGUUUGAGACCAGACUGAGCAAUAUGGUCAAACCCCAAUUCUGCAAAAUACAAAAAUAAAAAAUAGCUGGGAGUGGUGGUGCACACCUGUAGUCCCAGCUACUUAGGAAGCUGAGAUGGGAGGAUCACUUGAGCCUGCAGUGAAUCAUAAUUGCACCAAUGCACUCCAGCCUGGGCGACAGAGUGAGAGACAUUGUCUCAAAAAAAAGAAAAAGAAAAAAAAGAAAGGACAUAAAAAUGACAAACAGGCAUAUGAAAAGGUGCUGAUGAUUAUUGAUCCUCAGAGAAAUGCAAAUCAAAACUGCAAUGAGAUAUAAUCUCACCCCAGUUAAAAUGGCUUAUAUCCAAAAGACAGGCAAUAACAAAUGCUGGUGAGGAUGUGGAUAAAAGGGAACCCUCGUACACUGUUGAUGGGAAUGUAAAUUAGUACAACCACUAUGGAUAACAGUUUAGAGGUUCCUCAGAAAACUAAAAAUUGAGUUGCGAUAUGAUGCAACAAUCCUACUGCUGGGUAUAUACCCCACAAAAGACAAAACCAGCGUUUUGCAUGGUGGCUCACACCUGUAAUCCCAGCACUAUGGGAGGCCGAGGAGGGCAGAUCACUUGAGCCCAGAAGUUCAAGACCAGCCCGAGCAACAUGGCAAAACCUGAUUUCUACAAAAUACAAAAAAAAAAUUAGGCAGUUGUAGUGGUUCACACCUAUAGUCCUAGCUACUGUGGAGGCUGAGGUAGGAUCACUUGAACCUAGGAGGUGGAGGUUGCAGUGAGCCAAGAUCAUGCCACUGCACUCCAGCCUGGGUGACAAAGUGUGACCCUGUCUCAAAAAAGAAAAUCAGUAUAUGGAAGAGGUAUCUGCACUCCUAUGUUUUUUACAACACUGUUUACAAUAGCUAAGAUUUGGAAGCAACCUAAAUGUCUAACAGCAGAUGAAUGGAUAAGGAAAAUUUGGUAUGUAUACACAAUGAAGUACUAUUCAGCCAUAAAAAGGAAUGAGAUCCAGUCAUUUGCAACAGCAUGGAUGGAAGUGGAGAUCAUUAUGUUAAAUGAAAUAAGCCAGGCACAGAAAGGCAAACAUGGCAUGUUCUCACUUAUUUGUGGGACCUAAAUUCAAAACAAUUGAACUAAUGGACAUAAAGAGUAGAAGAAUGGUUACCAGAGGCUAGGAAUGGUAGUGGGGGGCUGAAGGGAAGGUGGGGAUGUUUAAUCGGUAAAAAAAAAUUUAGAAGAAUAAGACCUACUAUUUGAUAGCACAAUAGGGGGACUAUAGUCAAUAAUGCACAUUUAAAAAUAGUGUAAUUGAAUGGUUUGUAACUCAAAGGAUAAAUGCUUGAGGGAAUGGAUACCCCAUUCUCCAUGAUGUGCUUAUUUCACAUUGCAUACCUGUAUCAAAACAUCUCAUGUACCCCAUAAAUAUAUGCAGCUAUUAUGUACCCAC
rnacentral:lncRNA from 1 species